UACAGAGGUCUCAAGCGUUGUUCGGAUUCAUUGGGCGUAAAGGGUGCGUAGGCGGCGCGGUAAGUCGGAUGUGAAAUCUCGGAGCUUAACUCCGAAACUGCAUUCGAUACUGCCGUGCUUGAGGACUGGAGAGGAGACUGGAAUUUACGGUGUAGCGGUGAAAUGCGUAGAUAUCAGGAGGAAUACCGGUGGCGAAAGCGACUCUCUGGACGGUAACUGACGCUGAGGCACGAAAGCGUGGGGAGCAAACAGG
rnacentral:rRNA from 1 species